rnacentral:rRNA from 1 species
UGAGGAAUAUUGCGCAAUGAGCGAAAGCUAGACGCAGCAACGCCGCGUGGACGAUGAAGGCCUUCGGGUCGUAAAGUCCUUUUCAGAGGGACGAGUGAGGACGGCACCUCUGGAAUAAGUCACGGCUAACUACGUGCCAGCAGCCGCGGUAAAACGUAGGUGGCGAGCGUUGUCCGGAUUUAUUGGGCGUAAAGCGCGUGCAGGCGGUUCGACAAGUUGGAUGUGAAAGCUCCUGGCUCAACUGGGAGAGGUCGUUCAAUACUGUCGGACUAGAGAGCGGUAGAGGGAGGUGGAAUUCCCGGUGUAGUGGUGAAAUGCGUAGAUAUCGGGAGGAACACCAGUGGCGAAAGCGGCCUCCUGGACCGUUUCUGACGCUCAGACGCGAAAGCUAGGGUAGCAAACGGGAUUAGAGACCCCGGUAGUCCUAGCUGUAAACGAUGUGAACUUGGCGUCGGUAGUGUAAAAACUAUCGGUGCCGAAGCCAACGCGAUAAGUUCACCGCCUGGGGACUACGGCCGCAAGGUUA